rnacentral:rRNA from 1 species
UAGGGAAUCUUCCACAAUGGACGAAAGUCUGAUGGAGCAACGCCGCGUGAGUGGAGAAGGUUUUCGGAUCGUAAAGCUCUGUUGUUGGUGAAGAAGGAUAGAGGCAGUAACUGGUCUUUAUUUGACGGUAAUCAACCAGAAAGUCACGGCUAACUACGUGCCAGCAGCCGCGGUAAUACGUAGGUGGCAAGCGUUGUCCGGAUUUAUUGGGCGUAAAGCGAGCGCAGGCGGAAUGAUAAGUCUGAUGUGAAAGCCCACGGCUCAACCGUGGAACUGCAUCGGAAACUGUCAUUCUUGAGUGCAGAAGAGGAGAGUGGAACUCCAUGUGUAGCGGUGGAAUGCGUAGAUAUAUGGAAGAACACCAGUGGCGAAGGCGGCUCUCUGGUCUGCAACUGACGCUGAGGCUCGAAAGCAUGGGUAGCGAACAGGAUUAGAUACCCUGGUAGUCCAUGCCGUAAACGAUGAGCGCUAGGUGUUGGGGACUUUCCGGUCCUCAGUGCCGCAGCAAACGCAUUAAGCGCUCCGCCUGGGGAGUACGACCGCAAGGUUGAAAC